rnacentral:rRNA from 1 species
UACGAAGGGGGCUAGCGUUGCUCGGAAUCACUGGGCGCAAAGCGCACGUAGGCGGAUCUUUAAGUCAGGGGUGAAAUCCCAAGGCUCAACCUUGGAACUGCCUUUGAUACUGGGGAUCUCGAGUCCGGAAGAGGUUGGUGGAACUGCGAGUGUAGAGGUGAAAUUCGUAGAUAUUCGCAAGAACACCAGUGGCGAAGGCGGCCAACUGGUCCGGUACUGACGCUGAGGUGCGAAAGCGUGGGGAGCAAACAGG